GUGUCUGGCUCAACUUAUGAAAAUCAGCUUAUAAGUAUAGUUUUAAAUCGCAGUCACGAUCAGAGUCAAAACCACGGUAAUGAUCACGAUCAUGAGUAAUGGAAACGAGCUUGUAACGACCAUAACCUAACGACAACGACCCAUUGCUACGCAAAUUAUUUUGAAAAUUUUGUAAAGUUUAUGAAAUAAAUAAACAUUCAAAGAUAUAAUUAAAACUAAAAUAUACAACUACAUAAUAAGUAUAAAUAUAUCAAAUGUUUAUGCCAUCAAACUAGUAUAAAACAUAAUUUUCUUCCAAAAUAAAAGGCAAAUAAUUUACUCUUUGCAAAAUAUGGAUGUGGAUUGCUCUCCUUCACUUCAAAUAGAUCUCCAUAAACUAGAAACAAAAGAUUGAAAUGAGCUGGCUGCCCCUAUUGAAC
rnacentral:misc_RNA from 1 species